GGGAUGAGCUGUGGGUAGGGGUGAAAGGCCAUCAAACUCCGUGAUAGCUGGUUCUCCCCGAAAGCAUUUAGGUGGCAGCGUCGCGUGUUCACUCUGGG
rnacentral:rRNA from 1 species